rnacentral:hammerhead_ribozyme from 1 species
AUCCAGCUGAUGAGUCCUAAAUAGGACGAAACGCGCAUUCUGGAU